GGAUGUGAGGGCGAUCUGGCUGCGACAUCUGUCACCCCAUUGAUUGCCAGGGUUGAUUUGGCUGAUUUGGCUGGCUAGGCGGGUGUCCCCUUCCUCCCUCAUCGCUGUCCCUCCUGAAGCUGCGUGCUCGGUCAAAGAGGACAGCCUUCCGGGAAUAGAGACAGACUGGUCUUUGGUGGAGGGUAUAUGAGUAGCUGUGCUCCCCUGCUAGAACCUCCAAAAAAGCUCUCAACAUGUUUCACAUUUAUACAAAACAUAUGUUUAACAUUUAUAUGUUUCACAUUUAUAUAUGCUAGUUAUAU
ensembl:misc_RNA 7SK 7SK RNA